rnacentral:lncRNA from 1 species
CAGGCAGGAGACAGCGACUGCUUGGUCCGGGGCAGGUGAGCGCAGCGCAGGCCAGGGCCCUACCUGUCCACGGUGCGCGCGAGCGGCCAGCAGAGGGCGCCAGAGGACCACGAGCGGCCCGCGGAGGAGUCCGCGCCGGCCCCGAUGCCCAGCUCCGCGCCGCGCGGACCCACCGAGCCCGCGCUCAGACGCCCCAGCUCCGCCGAGAGGCCGCUCGCUCCGGGUCCUUCCUCUUCCCCAGGUGCAGGCAGAGCCCCCGGGGCCAUGGCCAGCCCUUCCGGCAGCUCCGAAGCCCCUGGCAAGCCCCGAGGCAGGGAUGGCCGGCCCAGGAGGGAGGAGGACGACGUCCCUCCCGAAGAGAAGAGGCUGCGGCUCUUGCUGGAGGGGGGAAGCGCACAGCCCCAGGACUGCGAGGACGGGCAGGACGCGCCGCGGUCGGCCAGGAAGGAGACCGGCACCCAGACAGGUGGCGACGGCAGAGGAAUAACUUCACUCUUCUCUGCAACGAAUCCCAAAAGUAUAUAAUUGAGCUGACUGCAAGGUACUUGACACGCAAGAGACUCCACAAAUGGGAUUCAGCCUCUGGAAAGUGGUGGUAGUUCCAGAUUUAUGUGGAUGUUACUUUGUUUUUCCCUAUAAAAUAUAUUAUUUAAACUAUCAA